rnacentral:tRNA from 1 species
GCGAGGGUAAGUUAUUGAUUCGUAAUCAGUAGGUCAGCGGUUCGAUUCCGCUCACUGGCUCCA